rnacentral:rRNA from 1 species
UAUUGGACAAUGGGGGCAACCCUGAUCCAGCGAUGCCGCGUGGGUGAAGAAGGCCUUCGGGUUGUAAAGCCCUUUAGGCUGGGAAGAAGUGUACAUGAGGAAAUGCGUGUACAUUGACGGUACCAGCAGAAUAAGCACCGGCAAACUCUGUGCCAGCAGCCGCGGUAAUACAGAGGGUGCAAGCGUUAAUCGGAGUUACUGGGCGUAAAGGGCGCGUAGGCGGUGAUAUGAGUGUGAUGUGAAAGCCCCGGGCUUAACCUGGGAAGUGCAUCGCAAACGAUAUGACUGGAGUAGAUGAGAGGGUGGCGGAAUUUCCGGUGUAGCGGUGAAAUGCGUAGAGAUCGGAAGGAACGUCAAUGGCGAAGGCAGCCACCUGGCAUCAUACUGACGCUGAGGCGCGAAAGCGUGGGGAGCGAACAG